rnacentral:other from 2 species
AUAGAACUUGAGUAUUCGUAGGGCUUAUCUAUAUUCGGGCCUAACACUUUCUCUAAGGGAAUAAGAAUCAUCUAUAAGUAUUAUAUGCUUGGCCUCUUUUUAUGACGCUAAGACUAAAGAAAGUAGUGCUAUUAUACCCACCUGAUUAUAUCAGGACCAAAUUUUAUAAGUUUCUACGAUACUUCGGUCUGAUG